ACAAGUAAUAAUAAGUAAGUUAAGAGUUAUCAUCUCACGGGGAAUAAAUUGAACUUAAGUUUACUAGUAUCGUAUGAAAUUCGAAUUAUGAAAACAAAGUAAAUAUUUUGAUUUGAUUUAAACUAAACUAAUAUAAGAAAGCAAUAAAAAUUUGGGGUUUUUGUCAAAUUAUGGAGGAUUGUAUUGAAUUUCGACUCUGUCUAUUGCUAUUUAUUUCAAUUCUUGAUUCGUAAUCUAAUUCCAUUCCGUGUACUUGACAAUCGAUAACGCUAAAUUAUUCAAUGCUCUUUUUCAUGACACACGAACCUUUGAUUAACAUGACCCGAUCCUCUUCCUAGUCCAAAUUCAUAUGAAAAUCACGCAUUAGUUCAAGUUAUCAAUAGGAUUGCAUGUAUGAUAGAUAUUAUUCAUAAUCCUAACUAUACAUGUUAAUUUUGCCGCGUUCUAAACUCGUUGUGAGUAUUCCUAUACUACAACAAGCAACUAACUAUUCAAUUGAUGGUUAAACAAUUCAAUAAUGCAAUGAGAAUGCAUAAUUAAUCAAAAAACACAAUAAUUAAACUAAAUUAGUUGUCUUGAAUUUAAAAUAAAUAACAAAUAGGGUUCAUCUCAUCCAACACAAAAAAGGAAUUAGCCUAACAUGAUAUUGAAAUUAAUGAACAAAUAAAUGUGGAAGGGCAUCACCAAAAUUUUUGACAGAACAUAAUUAAUUUUUAUCACAAUGAUUCUGCCAUCUUUUUCUCCUCCGAUGUUUUCUGUGUGUGUCGUCUCCUUCCAGUAAUUACUUGUCUCUGUUUGCGUAUAUCUACCUUCAUUCCUUUGCAUUUAUAUUAAUUCCAGCAGUAGAUAGGCCGUGUAUCUUCGGCUUUCUGUCUCUUCCAACAACCGCCAAUUUGCGUGACAUAUAUAUAUAUAUAUAUAUAUAUAUAUUUCAGCUCAAUUCUCUCCUCUCUAAGGCAGCGUUUUCUAAGUAUAAAUAUAUAAAUUCAGCAGCUGUCAAUUUCUUUUUCUUCCCUCCUGGUUUGUUUUUCUGUUAGAAUAAAUAUACAAUGUUGGCUCCCCAAAGCUGUCGAUUUCUUGAGUGUAUUUAUAAUUGAUCUUCGACAGACUGCCCUCCUUAAUUUCUGCGCCUUUUUGUAUAUAUCUUUAACCUAGCAGCAGCCCAAUUUGAUUAACACCCAAACUCCCAAGCUACCGACUUGCGUGAGAUAUAUAUAAAUCCACUUUACUUCUGCAAGUAGGAGUCCACUUUCAAUUAAAUUCCAAGCCCAUUAUGGUGGUUUUAUUUCCAAUUCCUCAAUUUUCAUCCAAUGGCCAAUUUAGUUCACGUACUUUCGAUUUUGCCAUUUCUCAUCAAUUUUUGCUUUUUCCUUCACUUCCUUUUCAUUCGUAGAGUUUCACCUACUAAACCUAAAACACAACAAUUUAGAAUGUAUUUUGUCAGAAGACUAUCAAAUAUUAUUAUUUUAGGGUCCCGAAUAAGUGUAUAAAAUACACUUAUCACAAUGGUGCAACCAUUGGAGAUGCCUCUAUUAGAGUGUGUUUGAUUGACAUGGAAAAUAUUACUUAGAAAAGAAAAUAUUUUCCAUCUUUUGUGAAAAAUAAAAACCACCUCUACCCAAGGAAAAUAUUUUCCUUAAAAACAAGGAAAAUUAGGCAUAUUUUCAAAAGUUGAAAAAUAUUUUCCAUAGAAAAAAAUAGCAAUCAAACACUCUAAGUAGGAAUUUGGAUGAAAAACUGAUAUUUUCCAUGGAAAAUAUAUGUAAUCACACCCUUAGUGUAACAACAGAAAUAUUAGAAUUAAAUUUGUAAAUAUUUUGAUAUUUUUAAUUUUAUAUUAUUAUUGCUCUGAUUUAUUAAAAUAAUAAAAAUUAUGAAUAAUCUAAUAACACAUUAAAUAAACCACUAUUAAUAUUUAUUGAAUAACUUGGUUCUUAGGAUUUUACAAAAUAAUUAAUGUUUUUCUUAUUUUCUUUCUUAUCAUAUUAAUAUAUCCGAUAGGGGUCCAGAAACGAACUCAGAACACGGUUUGGCCAGUUUUUGAUUUGCCAUUUAAACCAGAUGUUUCAACUAAAAAUGAGGAAACAUUUGUGGAUUAUCACCUUUUCUUUUUUCUUCUGUGGUUUCUUGUAUCUCGACCAAAAAAAUGUUUGAACGAAAUAUUAGAGUAAAAUAUAUAAUUCAACAACAACAUUCUAGUUCCUGCUGAUUAACGAGGUCAAAACUCGUUGAUCAAUAAACAAGAAUCCAAGAACAAUCUUUUUGUUCAUAUCGAUCGAAGACUUUUUGAUUCACGCAUAAUAUUAACAAUUUGGACAGAAAAAAUGUGGCAAUCAAAUGCAAAGUUAAGUAUAGCUAAAAGGGGUGUUGGCAAUGGCCUGGUUGCAGUUGCCAUAGACAAAGACAGAGGAAGCCAACAUGCAAUCAGAUGGACAAUCGAUAAUCUGCUCACCAGAGGCAAUACUAUAAUACUCAUUCAUGUCUUGAAAAGGGCGCCAUCUUCGCGUAAUUAUUUCUUAUCUUUCUUUCAGAUAUUGGAUCUUACAAUUCUUCCUAUUCAUGCAUUAGCUUUGGAAAGCAUAGCAUAUUAUGUGAUUAGUGCGUAUAAUAGUAAUUUUGGCCAUUGGAAUCGAGGGUGGAUGCAAGAAUAUGACCGUAAUGAAAUUGGAAUUGCGAUAAAUUAGGCUUCUU
rnacentral:lncRNA from 1 species